CAUUAGCCGCCUGGCUGACCGUACGAGACCCUGCUGUCCAAGUUACUGUGCGACAACAACAACAAUCAUCACAGGUGUAAAGGUCCUGAUUGGGUGACGCGAGAGACAAUGGGAGCGUCCUCCUCCACCCAGGUGUACAAUGCAUCACCUUAUGAAAUAGAGGUUUUAUUUCCUGUAGGGAAGCUGAAGAAAAAGAUCGUUCAGCUGGAUCCCACAUCAGAGGAUGAUGCUUCUGCAACUGAAGAGAUCAGCAAAAAGCCCAGUAAAAAUCACGUCAUAGAAGUUCUGGAAGAGGAGCGAAACUGUUCAGUGAAAUUGCCACCUGGAGAUGAAGGCAGCAUCAAAGGAUGUGGCCGUUUGCUUAUUUCAGUUCAGUAUAAAUUGGACAGUAACUCCAAUCACGACGUGUGCACUAACUACCCUGUUCCCAAAAACAGGUCGAUCAUAGUGACAGAACGCACUGUCAAGUUCCAAGGGAUUAACAGCGCCCCCUGGGUAGAUGAAAGUGGUAAGAAUCAUAAACCAAAUAAAAGUUAGUGGAGUUCUCAGUAGUUUCACAUGAGUGGACAGCCUGUUUCACCACCACUGAACCUGCACUCAGAUGAGCGCAAGUCUAAUCUGCAUUCUGCUCCUCAGAGAAGUCUGGAAAGGCCUUCUAAGUCUUUCGGCAUUGUUAUCUUGAGAUCACAAGAUAGUUAGCACGUUAUCUCAAGAUAACAACUUUGUCGACUUGAGAUCACAAGAAAAUUAAGUCAUUAUCUCCAGAAAAGACCUUUAUUUGAGAUCACAAGAUAAUUACCUUGUUAUCUUGUUCAUUUACCUCAAGAAAACUCCAUCUUCGUAUAACAAAAUGGUCAAAACAACAACUUUGUUAUCUUGCGACCACAAGAUAAUUAACUUAUCGCCAGAUAAGUCUUGAGAUUACAAGAUAGUUAACUUAUCGCCAAAUAAGUCUUUAUCUUGAGAUUACAAGAUAGUUAACUCCUUAUUUCCAGAUAACAAGAUAGUUAACUUAUUUCAAAACAUUACCUUGAGCUCACAAGAUAAUUUAUCUCAAGACAAUAAUACUUAUCUUCAGAUAACAAAAUGAUUAACUCAUUAUCUCAAUACAACAACUCAGUUAUCUUGAGAUCAUAAGGUAAUGAAGUCAUAAUCUCAAGAAAACAACUUUGUUAUCUUGAGAACACGAGAUAGUUAACUCAUUAUCUCAAGAUACCAAUCCAGAACAUUAUAGCUACCUCAUGGCCUCUCCAGACUUCCAUAUGGUUGAACUUUACUAAUUAAGAUGAUUUCAAAGUAUUUGAGCACGAUAAUAAACGAGAAACACUGCUUUGUGGUCCUUAAAGCUAAGAAUGUGUAAAAUGUCCCCGUCUGCUGUUCGUGUGUGUAGAACUAACGGUCAGUGAGGCCGAAUGAUUUCUGUCAUUUGUAGCUUUUGUUUCUUUCAUAUAAUCCUGGAGCUUCCUGGACUUAAACUCUGCAAGUCUUGGUUGGAAACAAAAGGGUUCAAAUCUUGAAAACUGUCCAGUCAGGAUGUUUCGUGGAUUCGUUUGUAAUACAGGUCAACACUGAUAGACGGCUAGCUAUUAAACUAGAACCACUUCACGUUCUGCAUGUUGGUCUAUCUAUUAAAGAAACCACGUGAAAGAGAACGUGUGAUGAACGAGUUCCUCUCUGGAGAAAAUUCCACUGAAUUAGACCUGAAAGCAGCACAACUGCUCACAUAACGAGGAGCCGACAGUGGAACCAACCAGUCAGUUUUCAUUUGCAGCAGUAAACAUCACUUCUGAAAGGUCUAGAUAGGCCUUCUGUUCUAGAUACUCCACUGGCUGUAAAUACGAGUUGUAGUCUAAGCAGGUUUCCCUUAGUUGUUAGGCAUGGAAACAAGUUCACUGGAACUUACAAGCUUCAAAUAAACAUGGAACGUCUUUUACAA